GCAUGGCCGAUCCACGCUCUCGAGCAUUCCCCGAUGCGUGCCGGCACAAUUCGCUCUCUGCCUGCCGUCCUAUAAAACCCACACCGCACGCGGCUAUACUCUGCAAGUAUCACACACCAACACACAGCUUAAGCAUUAGCACCACCACCAACUGCCCCGGCCAUCAGCCACAUCAGUACAUCAGUACAUCAGUACCAGCAAGCUGCUCUUCGACUACUCGCUGUGUGCCUGUGCAGUCCUGAGUGCUCAAGCCGGCUUGUGAUUCGCUUGCAUACCCUCAAGCUUCUUAUGGCACCCGCGUCGUCGAAGGUCAUGGGCCACCUCGCCCAAAACGGCGGCAUUGCCUCCUAUGCCGUUUACGCCGCGGCGCCGUGUGACGCGUGUUGCGGCGGCUCGCGGCAUAGGAAGGCCGAGACGGACGGCGACGACGACGAUGACGACUAUGACUGCGCGCCCGCCGCCUAAGGAGUGCCCUUGCGGACGUAAGUGCUCGGAGUGAAAUGGAUCUGUGAUCUGCCAGCGAAGAUCUCUAGUACAUAUACUCCGAAUUGCUCGCUGUUGUAUGCCAAUUCUAUCUCAAGUACUACGUAGGUACGUACGUAUAUCCAUGUAUUCCCCUAGUAUAUGAGCCAGUGAGAGGUGUGUGCUUUUUGUAACCGGCCGGGAAGCUAGCUAGAGUCCAUGGCUCCGUGCCGCUUAAAUAUUGACCCUAAUAAUUUGCUGGCUGAGUAUGCUUAGCUAUGCCUAGCUAGCUAGUUACACACGUACUAGUAUAAAUACUGAUGUAGCCUUGUGCUUUCCAUCGGCUUAUUGCAAUAAAACUGAUAUUAUCUUGUUCAGUUCUUCACCUUAAUUAUUACUGUGUUUAUAUAUGUAUAUAUGUGAUUCUCUGCCGAUCAUAUUGCAUGCUCCCAUGCAUGUUUCCAGUUAAAUUUGGUGUUCGUUUUGUUUAAUUUGCAUCUGGCAAGAGUCAACGGGCUCAAAUUCCAUGUAGAUCAGCAAGCAUUAUCUUUUCUUAAAGCAAAAUUCCUUUCAUUCACAAAUCUUUUCUCAAAGAGUAGCUAGGCUACAUAUCUAAGCACUGUUGUUCUUUCUUUCUGGAAGAUACGAUCACUUUGCCGAAUUUCAUUGUUUGUUAUCCAGCUUGCUAUAUAUAUCAGUGAGAUUCUACUCAUGAUUGGUAUACUUUUGAACUUAGUUGUUUACUCAUAUUUAUAUGAUUUUCAUGCUACUAAUCGCACAUGUGGGCAUAUGACACACUGCCCGCAUUCAUACUUUCAGCAUGUCAAUGAGCACUACAUGUUUACAUAUUUAUACACACUUAAAAGUGCAGACAUUUUGUCGUGCAAAUCUUGGUUAAUUAAUUUCGUAAUGUGUAACCUAGUUGACUUAUAAACAGUAACAGUUUCACGCAUUAGUAAAUCCGUUAUGACUUGCUAUUAUAGAGGAGCAACCGCAUAUAUACAUGCAUACUUUGUACGUGUUGGCUACAUAUGUGUGCCUUUUGUAACCGGAAAGAACUAGAGUCCGAGCCGCUUAAUGCUUAGCUAAGCCUAGUUACAUACUCACAUUAAUACAUAAGUAGCCUUGUGAAUUUCAUUUGUUGCAAUAAAAAAUGAUCUCUGUCCAUGCUCCUAGCUUGACCAUUAAUUGCAUGCUCCUUCGGCAAUUUGUCGCCAUUUUAUUUCGACAGGGGAAGAGUCAAGACAUCCGUGCGCCAGUGCCAUUUAAGAAAGUACUGAUGUGCUGAUGGGCAUGCCACUGAACUCUCGGUACUUCUGCAUAUCGAUCUAACACUUGGUGCUUUUAUGGAUAGCUCCUAAUUUUUUUGGAAAAUAACGAGCACCACAAAGAAAUCAUAGUAAGUAUUUCAGAUUUCAAUCCAUUAUCCAUUCGAGUGUUGUUUAGGUCGCUGUAUUGGUUGUUAAAGUAGAAUGCUACCACCGAGUAGCAUCUGGACCAUUUUGCAAUCCGAUUUCAACAUCAAAUAUCUAGGACGUCGUUUAAAUAAAAUUUGGUUGUGUCCAUGCAUGGUGCAGAGCCGGGAGAAUGAUCGUUUUUGGUAUUCAAUUUUGGAGCAAUUUUUUUUCCAGUACAAUAGGAAAUUUUAAAAUUAAUGGGUAUAUCAAGGGGUGGAGCCAAGAUUUUCCACCAGGAAUGCACACUAGUUACAGGGAUAAAUUAGGUAGUCCUUCACUUACCUAUCACAUUAUUUCAGUAAUUACUGAAUAUAUAUUCAAUAAUUCUCCUUUCAUAUUUCAACAUUCACUCUAAUAACCUAAAUAAUUCUAUAUUUAUUUAAAAAAUUGAGUGCCCGGCACAACGGGCACACCCAUAGUGUGGCACUGCCCCUGGGUGCGAAUGGCGCAACUAAGAGAUGUAAAUGGCUUAAUUAGGGAACAAUACAAUGUGACUCUGUACAAAUUUUCACAUGUAUUUCAGCCUGAAUGAAUGGAAUUACAAUUAUGAUUUAUCAAAUUUAGUGUCUUCCGCCUUUCUUUGGAGGUGCAAUUUUAGUUACGUUUACAAAUAUGUAUGCAAUUAUUCAGUUUUAUUAAUAGUUUUAACAUAGUUGAAUUGAAUUGACAUUUUAUAGAGUGAACUAAAUAUACGUCUUCUUUAUUUCCUGUCAGACUACAAGUUUACAUAUUAGUAAACCAUGUUAAAGUACAAUAUCAUCAUCAUUAUUUUAAUUUCAUGCAACAUUUUUGUUGUGUGGAUACUUAUCAUUAUUUCCUUAUUUUGCUUGUUACUUUUUUGAUAUUGCUUCAUCAUUUUAUUAUAUAAUAUACACUCGAUCGUGGUGGCUAUCUGAAGUCCCGGAUUCAUACUUUUUAAAUGUAAUGAAAACUGAUGAUUAAUUAAAUCGAAUUUUGUUUUAUGAAUAAUCUAAGUUACUAUAGCUGUUCCAUUUGUUGUUGGGCAAACAUAUAUAAUCAAUACUUACUGCAACUGUACAAUUUUUUUUGUUAUUAUGUAAGCUAUCUAGGUAGCUAUAGCACGCUUCCUAGAAAUCUUUAAUUGUGUUUAAGAAAUAAAAUAGUUUUUGUUUAAUUUCUUACCUUUUGGGGAUUUCAUAUAAGUUACUUUAAGUGAUCAAUUACCAGUAGACCCUGGAGGAUAUAACACGCGCUCUGUUCAUGUUUUACUGUAUGUUUUGACAUCGCUCAGCUUCAGUUCAUAUCCACUUGUCCUAUAUUCAGAAUGAUUCCUUCAUGAGAUAUAUUCCUCCGUCCAACAAAGGAUGUCUCAACUUUGACUAAUUUUGAAUGCAUCUAUACAUUAAGUCAUGUCUAGAUACAUCCAAAUUUUGACAAACUUGAGACAUCUUUUGUUGGACGGAGGGAGUAUAAUUUAAUCAAGUUAAUAAUUGGUUGUGUGCAUCAGCCGAUGAGCUCGGGGGUUUAUCCUUCUUUUCGAAAAAAAAUGAGAUAUAUAAUUUAAGCCAGCAAACAUGUCUGGUGAAAUUAGCCUUGAGGUGACAUCUCCGCUUUUGAAAUGAUAUUGCAAAAAUGGCCGUAAAAAGUCAUGAAGGGAAAUUCUCAUGAAUCACCAAGGUAGUAUUAAGAAGUCCUUGCCUUAGGUGGAAACCUCCCUCGUGAUAGCCUGAAUGUCCAUGCCGAUGCCGGCCUUCAAUCGAAAUUGUAGUAACCUUGGUAUCAUUCAUGCUAGAGAUGGUGAGGGCUUGGCCCUUUUUCCGCUUGAAUGUUUUAUACACGCGUAUGCCAAUUUGGAGUACUCCUUCCCAUGCAACAACUGCACCGCAUGCAUGGGAUGGGAUAAUGCUAUGAAAAACGGUCUAUAGCCUUCAUCAGCUAAUGAUCUUGCAGCCGAAUGGGAUUAUCUUGGUUGCGUCAGGAGGGAUUCUAUGAGAUUAUUGCAGCCGAAUGGGCUGUGUGUCGUGGCGGUUCUUCACCCAUCGAGCGUUGGCAGAAUAAGAUUAGACAUCUUCGUUGCUUCGUUCGUGGUUGGGCGAAGAAUCAAAGUGGGCCUUAUAAGAAAGAGCGUGAUCGUCUACUCCAUUUUAUUGACACCCUUGACAUCAAAACUGAAUCAUCUCUGCUCUCUGUGGCCAAGAGUGAUGCGCUACACACGGCUAAUUAAUGAUUUUGUGUCCAAGCUGCGUCGGGAUGAGGAAUCCAAGUGGGGCAACGGGCAAAAGUCAAGUAUGUCCAGGCGGGUGGAAACGAUACUAAUUUUUUUCAUCUUAUUGCUAAUGGCAAAUAGAAAGAAAGGAGUAUUAUUAGAAACUUUUUGGGACACCGGUCCCGAAUUCUUUCUCGCUCUGGCUGAAAAUAACAUCCUUGUAGCCGAUUUCACAGAGAAGGAGGUACAUGAUGCGAUUUUUCAAAUGGAGCAUAAUAAGGUUCCUGGACGUACCUGAUGGCUUUCCUGCUGAGUUUUAUCCGUUUUUUUGGGAUGUUUUAAAGGUUGACUUGAUGGCCCUGUUUGUCCAGCUUCAACAUGGGGAGUUACCUCUGUUUAAAUUGAACUUUGGGGUUAUUACUCUCAUCCCCAAGAAAGAGAAUGCGGUUCAGAUUCAGGAGUACAGACCAAUUUGUUUGCUUAAUGUCAGUUUUAAGAUUUUCACGAAAGUGGGUAUCAAUCGCAUUACUGGGAUUGCCCAAGGUGUGACUCGUGUACGCAAACAACCUUUAUGCAUGGGCAUCAUAUUCUUGAGGGCCGUCAGUUGUUCUUCAUGAGACUAUCCGUGAACUUCAUCGAAAGAAAAUGGAUGGUGUGUUCUUUUCAAGAUCCACUUUGAAAAAAGCCUAUGAUAAGGUCAAGUAGCCCUUCCUUCAGCAAGCGUCGUGAAUGAAAGGUUUUGACCCUAAGUGGUGUAAUUGGAUCGCCCAUCUUGUGCAAGCUAGGGGGUGCAGUGUGGGAAUAAGGGUUAAUGAUGACAUUGGCCACUACAUACUUCCAGACUCGGAAAGGGUUGCGCCAAGGCAAUCCAAUCUCCCCAUUCUUUUUAAUAUCAUGACGGACAUGCUUGUUAUUCUUAUCGAUAGGGCAAAAGAUGAUGGUCAGGUGGGAGGCCUCAUCCCUCAUCUGAUUGAGGGGGGAGUGUCCAUCCUCCAAUAUGUUGAUGAUACUAUUAUUUUUAUGGAACACGAUUUAGAAAAGGCAGUUAAUAUGAAGCUGAUCUUGUGUAUAUUUGAACAACUUUCGGGACUUCAAAUAAAUUUUCACAAGAGUGAAAAUUUCUGUUUCAGUAAGGUCAAGCGGCAGAGUCAGACUAUAGACAGAUUUUUGGCUGCGAAUGUGGAACUCUCCCGUUUUGUUAUUUGGGGAUUCCAAUUCAUUAUUGGAAGUUACUCAAUAAGGAGUGGAAAGCAGUAGAAGGUAGCUUUGAGAAGAAGCUUGGGUGUUGGAAGGGCAAGUUACUCUCAUACGGAGAUCGACUUGUCCUGAUAAAUUCUGUACUUAUGAGCACGCCUAUGUUUAUGUUAUCCUUUGUUUGAGAUACCCAUUGGGGUUUGGCAAAGAUUAGAUCUCCACGGAUCAUGUUUCCUUUGGCAAUCUGAUAACCAGAAGAGGAAAUAUCGGCUUGCCAAAUGGAAUAUUAUCUGACGCCCUAAAGAUCAGGGUGGACUAGGCAUUGAGCUGUUUGACAUCAAGAAUAAGUGUUUACUUAGCAAAUGGUUGUUUAAACUGCUUAAUGGUGAUGGUCUGUGGCAGCAGCUCCUUCGUAAUAAGUACCUCCAUUCUAACACCCUCUCCCAAGUUAAGUUACGGCCAGCUGAUUCCCCUUUUUGAAAGGGCCUAAUGCGAGUUAAAGAUCAGUUUUUUUUAACAAAGGUGCUUUCAUUCUACGGGAUGGUCAUGGCACUCGGUUCUGUGAAGAUACUUGGACGGGGAUAACCCUCUUGCGUCUCAAUACCCAUCAUUAUUUAACAUCGUGCAAUGGAAAGAUGUUCUUGUCACCGAUGGUUUAUCGACGGUACCCCUAAAUAUUGAGUUUAGGCGGCUACUAACGGGCAAUAAGUGAACAUCGUGGUUGCACUUGGUCCAGCGAUUAUUGAUGAUUAAUCUCUCCACCCAGUCAAAUAAAUUCUCGUGGAAGCUAACUACUUCUGAGGACUUCUCGGUUAAAUCCAUGUAUAGAGGUAUUAUGGAUAGCCCGACUGUUUUCUCGCGUAAUUAUCUUUGGAAACUAAAAUUCCCCCUCAAAGUUAAGAUUUUUAUGUGGGUUUUUUAUUGCAAGGUUCUUUUAAUGAAGGAUAAUCUUGUCAAAAGGAACUGGACAGGAUGUAUGCAAUGUUGUUUUUGUGACGAGAAGGAGUCUAUUCAACAUCUUUUUAUCUCUUGUCCUUAUGGCAACUGGUUAUCUUCAGGGGCACUUCACUGAUCCGCCUACGGUCCUUCCUCCUCUAUAUGGACAAGCAGGAGUAUUCGACUUCUGGGUGCACCAGGGUGGAGAUGGUCGCUCGGGAUAUCUCCAAACCAGGCUGGCUGGCAGCCUGUUGCUAGACUGCAGGAUGCAUAGACAUUUUUCUCAAGAUCUUUGUUGUGUUUGGUUUAUUUUUGUGUCCACUUUGUGUGAUCUAUUAUUAUUGGUGUAC